rnacentral:rRNA from 1 species
AGUUCGGAUUGCAGGCUGCAACUCGCCUGUAUGAAGUCGGAAUUGCUAGUAAUCGCGGAUCAGCAUGCCGCGGUGAAUACGUUCCCGGGCCUUGUACACACCGCCCGUCACACCAUGAGAGCCGGGAACACCCGAAGUCCGUAGUCUAACCGCAAGGAGGACGCGGCCGAAGGUGGGUUUGGUAAUUGGGGUGAAGUCGUAACAAGGUAUC